GACGAACGCUGGCGGCGUGCUUAACACAUGCAAGUCGAACGAAGAGCGAUGGAAGCUUGCUUCUAUCAAUCUUAGUGGCGAACGGGUGAGUAACGCGUAAUCAACCUGCCCUUCAGAGGGGGACAACAGUUGGAAACGACUGCUCAUACCUCAUACGAUCUAAUCUCGGCAUCGAGGAUAGAUGAAAGGUGGCCUCUACAUGUAAGCUAUCACUGAAGGAGGGGAUUGCGCCUGAUUAGCUAGCUGGAGGGGUAAAGGCCCACCAAGGCGAUGAUUGGUAGCCGGGCUGAGGGGAUGAACGGCCACAAUGGGACUGAGACACGGCCCAGACUCCUACGGGAGGCAGCAGUGGGGAAUCUUCCGCAAUGGACGAAAGUCUGACGGAGCAACGCCGCGUGGGUGAUGACGGCCUUCGGGUUGUAAAGCUCUGUUAAUCGGGACGAAAGGCCUUCUUGCGAAUAGUGAGAAGGAUUGACGGUACCGGAAUAGAAAGCCACGGCUAACUACGUG
rnacentral:rRNA from 1 species